rnacentral:tRNA from 1 species
CCUGGUGGCUUAGGUGGUAAAGAACCUACCUGCAAUGUAGGAGACCCAGGUUCGAUACCUGGGUCAGGA